ensembl:ncRNA C42D8.15 ncRNA
UUGUUAGUUUUUUUUCUUGCGUGUUCUUCUUUUUCCCGCUGACUAGACGAUGAAGACAACACGUUUUUGAUUCAAAAGGGCCCCCCCCCCCCCCAAUUAUUCGUUCUUCAUUCAUUUGCCGCCGCCACCGCGCGCAAAUCCCAUCACAAUCCAGUAUUUCUCUCCCGAUGCCACUCACUCAUUCAGUUCUA